CGGACGGGUGAGUAACGCGUGGGUAACCUGCCUCAUACAGGGGGAUAACGGUUAGAAAUGACUGCUAAUACCGCAUAAGCGCACAGUACCGCAUGGUACAGUGUGAAAAACUCCGGUGGUAUGAGAUGGACCCGCGUCUGAUUAGCUAGUUGGUGGGGUAACGGCCCACCAAGGCGACGAUCAGUAGCCGACCUGAGAGGGUGACCGGCCACAUUGGGACUGAGACACGGCCCAG
rnacentral:rRNA from 1 species